UUUUACCAACUUUGUAAGUCGCUCUGGAUAAGAGCGUCUGCUAAAUGACUUAAA
rfam:Salmo salar isolate Sally breed double haploid chromosome ssa25, whole genome shotgun sequence.